rnacentral:rRNA from 1 species
CCUACGGGUGGCAGCAGUGAGGAAUAUUGGUCAAUGGGCGCAAGCCUGAACCAGCCAAGUCGCGUGCAGGAUGACGGUUCUAUGGGUCGUAAACCUCUUUUGUACGGGAUUAAACUCCGAGACGUGUCCCGGUUUGUAUGUACCUUAUGAAUAAGGAUCGGCUAACUCCGUGCCAGCAGCCGCGGUAAUACGGAGGAUCCGAGCGUUAUCCGGAUUUAUUGGGUUUAAAGGGUGCGUAGGCGGAUUUUUAAGUCAGCGGUGAAAGGCGGGGGCUCAACCACGGAAUUGCCUCUAAUACUGUUAGGCUAGAGAAUUGUUGAGGCAGGCGGAAUGCGUGGUGUAGCGGUGAAAUGCUUAGAUAUCACGCAGAACCCCGAUUGCGAAGGCAGCUUGCCAAGCCAUGACUGACGUUGAGGCACGAAAGCGUGGGGAGCAAACAGGAUUAGAUACCCUAGUAGUC